AUUGAACGCUGGCGGCAUGCUUUACACAUGCAAGUCGAACGGCAGCGCGGGCUUCGGCCUGGCGGCGCGUGGCGAACGGGUGAGUAAUACAUCGGAACGUGCCCAGUAGGGGGGGAUAGCUCGGCGAAAGCCGGAUUAAUACCGCAUACGACCUGCGGGUGAAAGCGGGGGGUCUUCGGACCUCUCGCUCUUGUAGCGGCCGAUGGCAGAUUAGCUAGUUGGUGGGGUAAAGGCCUACCAAGGCGACGAUCUGUAGCUGGUCUGAGAGGACGACCAGCCACACUGGGACUGAGACACGGCCCAGACUCCUACGGGAGGCAGCAGUGGGGAAUUUUGGGCAAUGGGCGAAAGCCUGAUCCAGCAAUGCCGCGUGUGUGAUGAAGGCCUUCGGGUUGUAAAGCACUUUUGGCGGGAACGAAAAGGACUGUGCCAAUACCACGGUUCGAUGACGGUACCCGCAGAAUAAGCACCGGCUAACUACGUG
rnacentral:rRNA from 1 species